rnacentral:rRNA from 1 species
UACGAAGGGGGCUAGCGUUGCUCGGAAUCACUGGGCGUAGAGGGUGCGUAGGAGGGCAGGUAAGUCAGUGGUGAAAUCCCCGAGCUUAACUUGGGAACUGCCGUUGAUACUAUCUGUCUUGAAUAUCGUGGAGGUGAGCGGAAUAUGUCAUGUAGCGGUGAAAUGCUUAGAUAUGACAUAGAACACCAAAUUGCGAAGGCAGCUCGCUACACGAAUAUUGACUCUGAGGCACGAAAGCGUGGGGAUCAAACAGG